rnacentral:rRNA from 1 species
UACGUAGGGGACGAGCGUUAUCCGGAUUUAUUGGGUUUAAAGGGUGCGCAGGCGGGAUGUUAAGUCGGCGGUGAAAUUUUGCAGCUCAACUGUAAAAGUGCCUUCGAUACUGGCUUUCUUGAGUGUGGAUGAAGUAGGCGGAAUUUGUGGUGUAGCGGUGAAAUGCUUAGAUAUCACGAGGAACUCCGAUUGCGCAGGCAGCUUACUAAACCACUACUGACGCUCAUGCACGAAGGCGUGGGGAUCAAACAGGAUUAGAUACCCCCGUA